ACAUAUAUGAUAUGAUAUGAUGCGGUUCGGUACAAAGUUUUCAUGCCAAAUUAUCCGUUUUAAUAUUUGUAAUACGCGAAAUUAAAGAUGACAUACUUGCUUGCCUCGAUAGUCAAUAU
rnacentral:sRNA from 1 species